rnacentral:rRNA from 1 species
GACAAGGUUCCAGACCCUACGGGGUGCAGCAGGCGCGAAACCUCCGCAAUGUACGAAAGUGCGACGGGGGGAUCCCAAGUGUCAUGCUUUUUUGUAUGACUUUUCAUUAGUGUAAAAAGCUUUUAGAAUAAGAGCUGGGCAAGACCGGUGCCAGCCGCCGCGGUAACACCGGCAGCUCGAGUGGUAGCUGUUUUUAUUGGGCCUAAAGCGUUCGUAGCCGGUUUGAUAAGUCUUUGGUGAAAGCUUGUAGCUUAACUAUAAGAAUUGCUGGAGAUACUAUUAGACUUGAAGUCGGGAGAGGUUAGAGGUACUACCGGGGUAGGGGUGAAAUCCUAUAAUCCUGGGAGGACCACCUGUGGCGAAGGCGUCUAACUGGAACGAUCUUGACGGUGAGUAACGAAAGCCAGGGGCGCGAACCGGAUUAGAUACCCGGGUAGUCCUGGCCGUAAACGAUGUGGACUUGGUGUUGGAAUGGCUUUGAGUUGUUCCGGUGCCGAAGGGAAGCUGUUAAGUCCACCGCCUGGGAAGUACGGUCGCAAGACUGAAACUUAA